GUAACCUACCUCUGGGUGGGGGACAACACUUCGAAAGAGGUGCUAAUACCCCAUAGAGUUACUUGAUAUAAAUCGUUUAGUAAUGAAAGGUGGCCUCUGCUUGCAGGCUAUCGCCCAAAGAUGGGCACGCGGUCUAUUAGCUAGUUGGUGAGGUAAAAGCUCACCAAGGCAACAAUGGAUAGCUGGCCUGAGAGGGUGGUCGGCCAUACUGGGAUUGAGAUACGGCCCAG
rnacentral:rRNA from 1 species